UCCUUCCGCCACUUCCUUCCGCCACUUCCUUCCUUCCGCCACUUCCUUCCUUCCGCCACUUCCUUCCUUCCGCCACUUCCUUCCUUCCGCCACUUCCUUCCGCCACUUCCUUCCGCCACUUCCUUCCGCCACUUCCUUCCUUCCGCCACUUCCUUCCUUCCGCCACUUCCUUCCUUCCGCCACUUCCUUCCUUCCGCCACUUCCUUCCUUCCGCCACUUCCUUCCUUCCGCCACUUCCUUCCUUCCUUCCGCCACUUCCUUCCUUCCUUCCGCCACUUCCUUCCUUCCUUCCUUCCGCCACUUCCUUCCUUCCUUCCUUCCUUCCUUCCGCCACUUCCUUCCUUCCUUCCUUCCUUCCUUCCUUCCUUCCGCCACUUCCUUCCGCCACUUCCUUCCUUCCGCCACUUCCUUCCGCCACUUCCUUCCUUCCGCCACUUCCUUCCUUCCGCCACUUCCUUCUGCCACUUCCUUCCUUCCUUCCGCCACUUCCUUCCGCCACUUCCUUCCGCCACUUCCUUCCGCCACUUCCUUCCUUCCGCCACUUCCUUCCGCCACUUCCUUCCGCCACUUCCUUCCUUUACAGAUAGAUCUCUGUAGCUGACAGAUUUGCCCAGGGAAACUCUCAGACACUGUCACAUGCCACAGAUAUUUGCUGGAGAUAUCAUACCACAGCAAGAGCAUGUUUCUUGCUUAAUGUGUGCAGCAGGUUUCUUGCUUGUCUUUUCCCAUUCUUUUCAUGAAUUUUGGAUUCCUAAAGCUUGACUGUCCCCAUGACAGUGUAGAGGCUGGAGAGACAUUCAUCUCAUUAUGUGUUUGCACAGCUUGACACUUGAAUAGUGUUUGUGUUGUCAACACCUCAGGGACACAUCCUCUAAGUGCUUGUGUCCUGUGCAUGGCAGGGGAUCCUUGAAGCAGCCAUCAGAAUAUGUCAAAAUAAAGUGCUACUGAAAAGAAAAAAGUGAUGCAGUGCUGCAGGUGAGAGGAGAAGGUAGCAGGUCAAGCACAUGAGUUCAGACCCUGGAUAGAGGUAGUCCUGUUUGUGUGUCUGGAAGCAGGAGAAUUUUCAAGGCAGGAGCUGCUGGCUGUCCUGCACCAGCAAAGACCCACAACAGAAGCUACCUUCCAAAGAGUUGAGAGUGCAUGAGCUACAUGCUAUGCAGCAAUCUGUGGCAGAGUACAACCCCAUCUGAUGUACAUAUCAUAUCAGCACUCUGAAAGAUUGGCAGGCAGGCCAGGCUGAGCAGCAGUUUCAGCCCAAGGUCCCAGCUGCCCACACCUGACAGUAAUGGAAGGAACCUCCAGAGGCACCAGGCACCGACCCCCUUGGGAGUGCGUGGGUUUAGGCCAGCAGGGAGCCACUGGAGGACCAGUACAGCUGAAGGUACCAAGGCUGUCACAGGGGACAGCACCACUGAAGGCAUGGUGCUGCUGUGGGUGGUGAUGAUGACACUGAAAGUGUGAAGGCUGUGGGGGCUGAGAGGAAGUAGUGAAACUGAGGGGUCUGGGGGAGCCGAUGGUGAUGGCAAGGACUGGGGGGACAGA